rnacentral:rRNA from 1 species
GACGAACGCUGGCGGCGUGCUUAACACAUGCAAGUCGAACGAACAGGCCCUGCGUUUGUGGGGUGCUCGUGUGGCGAACGCGUGAGUAACACAUGAGUAACCUCCCCUUGACUUUCGGAUAACUUCAUGAAACUGGGGCUAUUACCGGAUAGGAUCUCCUGCUGCAUUGUGGUGGUUGGAAAGUUUCGGCGGUUGUGUAUGUACUCGCUGCUUAUCAGCUUGUUUGUGGGGUAGUGGCUUACCAAGGUUUCGACGGGUAGCCUGCCUGAGAGGGUGACAGGCCAAAUAGGGACUGAGAUACGGCACAGAUUGCUAAGGUAGGAAGCAGUGGGGAAUAUUGAAGAAGGGACGGCAGGCUGAUGAAGCAACGCCGCGUGCGGGAUAACGGCGUUCGGGUGGUAAACCGCUUUGGAAUGUAACGAAGCGUGAGUGACGGUAAUGGGUAAAGAAGCACCGGCUAACUACGUG